UGCAGUCGAGCGACAGACGAGGAGCUUGCUCCUCUGACGUUAGCGGCGGACGGGUGAGUAACACGUGGAUAACCUACCUAUAAGACUGGGAUAACUUCGGGAAACCGGAGCUAAUACCGGAUAAUAUAUUGAACCGCAUGGUUCAAUAGUGAAAGACGGUUUUGCUGUCACUUAUAGAUGGAUCCGCGCCGCAUUAGCUAGUUGGUAAGGUAACGGCUUACCAAGGCAACGAUGCGUAGCCGACCUGAGAGGGUGAUCGGCCACACUGGAACUGAGACACGGUCCAGACUCCUACGGGAGGCAGCAGUAGGGAAUCUUCCGCAAUGGGCGAAAGCCUGACGGAGCAACGCCGCGUGAGUGAUGAAGGUCUUCGGAUCGUAAAACUCUGUUAUUAGGGAAGAACAAAUGUGUAAGUAACUAUGCACGUCUUGACGGUACCUAAUCAGAAAGCCACGGCUAACUACGUGCCAGCAGCCGCGGUAAUACGUAGGUGGCAAGCGUUAUCCGGAAUUAUUGGGCGUAAAGCGCGCGUAGGCGGUUUUUUAAGUCUGAUGUGAAAGCCCACGGCUCAACCGUGGAGGGUCAUUGGAAACUGGAAAACUUGAGUGCAGAAGAGGAAAGUGGAAUUCCAUGUGUAGCGGUGAAAUGCGCAGAGAUAUGGAGGAACACCAGUGGCGAAGGCGACUUUCUGGUCUGUAACUGACGCUGAUGUGCGAAAGCGUGGGGAUCAAACAGGAUUAGAUACCCUGGUAGUCCACGCCGUACACGAUGAGUGCUAAGUGUUA
rnacentral:rRNA from 1 species